rnacentral:rRNA from 1 species
AAAAAAUUAAUUAUAUUACUAAAAUAGUAUGUGAUUAUUUAUUGAAACUUAAAUAAUUUGGCGGUAUUUUAGUUCAUUUAGAGGAAUCUGUCUAGUAAUUGAUAUUCCACGAAUAAUUAUAUUUAAUUUAAAAUUUUAUAUAUCGUUGUUAAAAAAAUAUUUUUUAAUAAAAAUAAUAUUUAAAAAUUUAAAUUUAAAAUUAACUCAGAUCAAGAUGUAGAUAAUAAUUAAAAUUAAGAUGGAUUACAAUAUAUUUAUAUAAAUGGAUAAUAAUUUUGAAAUAAUUAUUUAAAAUUGGAUUUAAAUGUAAUUUUAAAUAAUUUUUUAAAAUGAUUUAUAAUUAAAAUAUGUACAUAUUGCCCGUCACUUUCAUUUAAAAAUUGAAAUAAGUCGUAACAAAGUAGAGGUACUGGAAAGUGUUUCUAGAAAGA